GACUAUCAAUGAGGAGUCCGAUUGUCUACGGAAAAAAAUUUGUGGCGGCGCAAAUUUUUUUUCCGUAGACAGUCGGACUCCUCAUUGAUAGUCGGACGCAU